UACGGGGGGGGCAAGCGUUGUUCGGAAUUACUGGGCGUAAAGGGCUCGUAGGCGGCCAACUAAGUCAGACGUGAAAUCCCCGGGCUUAACCUGGGAAUGGCAUUUGGGACUGCAAGGCUGGAGUUUGGCAGAGGAGACUGGAAUUCCUGGUGUAGCAGUGAAAUGCGUAGAUAUCAGGAGGAAUACCGAUGGCGAAGGCAGGUCUCUGGGCUAUAACUGACGCUCAUGCACGAAAGCGUGGGGAGCAAACAGG
rnacentral:rRNA from 1 species